CUGUGAUGUUUUAUAACUUGUUGUGGAGGGGGGGGCAGCCUCUAGUUUGUUAGAUUGUGUCCUGUCUGUCUGUCUGGUCAUCUCGUCUGGUCUCUUGUCCGCACUGUCCAGCUGUUAGCAUGGGUCUCCAGAUUCAUGUGGUUUUCUGUGGUUCCUGAGGUUACAAGUCCAAGUUUCUCCAACUCAAGAAAUCCCUUGAAGUGGAAUUUCCUGGGGAAUUGGAAAUAACUGGGGAGGGGACACAGACCCGAUCAGGGAAAUUUGAGGUUGUGACAAAGGAUGGCAAAGUGUUGCACUCAAAAGAGAAUGGAGAGGGCUUUGUGGACAACGAUAAGCUUCAGAAGAUAGUGGCCUGGAUCCAGGCUGCUCUCCGCAAAUGAGAAGGCAGCAGCCGUGUGGUGUGUAAUGGAGUUAAACCGCCGUUGGCUUUGUUCAUCGCGACUGACCGCUGAAUGAUGGAAGUGGCCAAAAUGUCUUCAGAUGAGGCACGACCACACCCAGAUGCUAACAUGGGACGUCGCUGUGACCAAAGUUAAUGGGGGGGUUUGACUCUUGUAUUUCGGGGUUGCGAUCAUUUUAGCUUUUUUUCCCCCCCCCUUUUCUUACCAGGGUUGGGUGUUUUCUUCUUGCUCUUUGUAAUCAAAGCUGACAGUAACUGUGCAAUGCACUAAGUGGCAGGCCGGGCGCUCAUUUCGUUUGGAACUGUCAAAGGCUUCCCCCGAACACCCCACCCCCGGACCCCCACCCAAAACAACGUGGAAAAAACCCACUUCAGUAAAUUGUGCCCCAUCCAAACUUCGCAGCGUUGACAUAGCCGUCACCAGACAGAAUUCAACCGUCACUUCUUCAAAUUGGAGUUGGAAGUACAGAUCAGCCUUGAUCUUACAGAAUGGCAGAACAGGCUCGAGGGACUGAAUGGCCUCCUCCUGUUCCUAUGUGUUCCAAAAGAUUAUGGCUGGAUCCAUUCAAAUUUUCAAGACUGAGGUGGAUAUAUGUUUGUGAGGUCAGGGGUUCGAGGGAUAUGGGGCAAAGGUGGGUAAUGGAGUUGAGGUACAGAUCAGCCGUGAGUUAUAGAAUAGCGGAACAGGCUCAAGGGGCUGAAUCGCUUCCUCCUGAUCCUAUAUAUUCCAAAAUGGGAGGAGACAGUGUUCUGAUCUGUAAAAUUAUUUCUCUUCAAAGUGGGUAACACUGAGGCUUAGUGAAUAGCAUUUGACAACUCAAAUCUUGUUCCAAAACUGCAAUAAAAAAUUAUUUGACUUC